rnacentral:rRNA from 1 species
AUUGAACGCUGGCGGCAGGCCUAACACAUGCCAGUCGAACGGUAACAGGAAGAAGCUUGCUUCUUUGCUGACGAGUGGCGGACGGGUGAGUAAUGUCUGGGAAACUGCCUGAUGGAGGGGGAUAACUACUGGAAACGGUAGCUAAUACCGCAUAACGUCGCAAGACCAAAAAGGGGGACCUUCGGGCCUCUUGCCAUCGGAUGUGCCCAGAUGGGAUUAGCUAGUAGGUGGGGUAACGGCUCACCUAGGCGACGAUCCCUAGCUGGUCUGAGAGGAUGACCAGCCACACUGGAACUGAGACACGGUCCAGACUCCUACGGGAGGCAGCAGUGGGGAAUAUUGCACAAUGGGCGCAAGCCUGAUGCAGCCAUGCCGCGUGUAUGAAGAAGGCCUUCGGGUUGUAAAGUACUUUCAGCGGGGAGGAAGGGAGUAAAGUUAAUACCUUUGCUCAUUGACGUUACCCGCAGAAGAAGCACCGGCUAACUCCAUG